rnacentral:rRNA from 1 species
GUGCAGCUAUUUAAGAUGGAAGAUGUCAGCAUGGGCAUGUGGGUGGAGAAAUUCAACAUCACUCAUAGGUCAGUAGAGUAUCGGCAUGAUGUCAGGUUCUACCAGGCUGGUUGCUUCGAUGGUUACUUCACUGCACACUAUCAGUCUCCACAGAACAUGAUCUGCCUGUGGAGGAAAUUACAAUCCAGUAGCACCCAUUGCUGCAACGUGAGAUGA